AUUGAACGCUGGCGGCAGGCCUAACACAUGCAAGUCGAGCGGAUGAAGGGAGCUUGCUCCUGGAUUCAGCGGCGGACGGGUGAGUAAUGCCUAGGAAUCUGCCUGGUAGUGGGGGAUAACGUCCGGAAACGGGCGCUAAUACCGCAUACGUCCUGAGGGAGAAAGUGGGGGAUCUUCGGACCUCACGCUAUCAGAUGAGCCUAGGUCGGAUUAGCUAGUUGGUGGGGUAAAGGCCUACCAAGGCGACGAUCCGUAACUGGUCUGAGAGGAUGAUCAGUCACACUGGAACUGAGACACGGUCCAGACUCCUACGGGAGGCAGCAGUGGGGAAUAUUGGACAAUGGGCGAAAGCCUGAUCCAGCAACGCCGCGUGUGUGAAGAAGGUCUUCGGAUUGUAAAGCACUUUAAGUUGGGAGGAAGGGCAGUAAGUUAAUACCUUGCUGUUUUGACGUUACCAACAGAAUAAGCACCGGCUAACUUCGUG
rnacentral:rRNA from 1 species